ACGAGCGCUGGCGGCGUGCUUAACCCAUGCAAGUCGAACGGAAAGGCCCUGCUUUUGUGGGGUGCUCGAGUGGCGAACGGGUGAGUAACACGUGAGUAACCUGCCCUUGACUUUGGGAUAACUUCAGGAAACUGGGGCUAAUACCGGAUAGGAGCUCCUGCUGCAUGGUGGGGGUUGGAAAGUUUCGGCGGUUGGGGGUGGACUCGCGGCUUAUCAGCUUGUUGGUGGGGUAGUGGCUUACCAAGGCUUUGACGGGUAGCCGGCCUGAGAGGGUGACCGGCCACAUUGGGACUGAGAUACGGCCCAGACUCCUACGGGAGGCAGCAGUGGGGAAUAUUGCACAAUGGGCGGAAGCCUGAUGCAGCAACGCCGCGUGCGGGAUGACGGCCUUCGGGUUGUAAACCGCUUUCGCCUGUGACGAAGCGUGAGUGACGGUAAUGGGUAAAGAAGCACCGGCUAACUACGUG
rnacentral:rRNA from 1 species